AGAGAGAGAAAGAGAGAGGAUGAGAGAGAGGCUGAGAGAGAGGCUGAGCUAGAGAGAGGUUGAGAGAGAGAGGUGGAGAGAGAGAGAGGUUGAGAGAGAGAUUGAGAGAGAGAGAGGUUGAGAGAGAGAUUGAGAGAGAGAGAGGUUGAGAGAGAGGUUGAGAGAGGUUGAGAGAGAGAGAAAGAGGAUGAGAGAGCGAGAGAGAGAUUGAGAGAGAGAGAGAGCGGGGUUGAGAGAGAGAGAGAGAGAGAGAGAGAGAGAUGUUGAGAGAGAGAGAGAGGUUGAGUGAGAGAAAGAGAGAGGUUGAGAGGUUGAGAGAGAGAUUGAGAGAGAGAGAGGUUGAGAGAGAGGUUGAGAAAGGUUGAGAGAGAGAGAGAGAGAGAGAGGUUGAGAGAGAGGUUGAGAGAGAGAGAGAGAGAUUGAGAGAGAGAGAGAUAGGGUGAGAGAGAGGGAGAGAGAGGUUGAGAGAAAGGUUGAGAGAGAGAGGUUGAGAGAGAGAGGUUGAGAGAGAGAGAGAGGUUGAGAGAGAGAGAUUGAGAGAGAGAGAGAGAUUGAGAGAGAGAGGGAGGGAGAGAG
ensembl:lncRNA